rnacentral:tRNA from 1 species
GAGGGUGGAGCUCAGAGGUAGAGCGUGUGCUUAGCACGAGAGGUCCUGGGUUCAAUUCCCAGUACUUCUG